rnacentral:rRNA from 1 species
UGGUGGAGCGAUUUGUCUGGUUAAUUCCGAUAACGAACGAGACUCUAGCCUGUUAACUAGCCAGUGGAUCAAUUAUUUCAAUGCGGCGAAGCCUAGGCGACUCUUUGUGGGUUUGUCUCUGGUGUGUAGUCGCGUCCGCUGAGCCUUCUUAAAGGGACAGGCGGCUUUUAGCCGCACGAGACGGAGCAAUAACA